ensembl:lncRNA
CUGAAGACACAGCCCCACCCUGAGAGGCCAGCACUGGCCUCGAGGCACACAGGGGUGCAUUCCAAUUGGUUUCUACUGAUUCCUAUUGGUCUCUAUUCACCCCCAUCAGUCCUUGCUGGUCUUUUCUGGACGCUGACGCAUUCCUUUCACAAAAACGAGGUCUGAUGUCCCACUCGUUUUCGGGUUUGUUGCCCGUUUGUAAAAUAUUUUAUGACGUAUACAUAUCAAUCUAUGUCUCGUCCCACUCAGUGCAUUUUGAGGGGGUGAAUCUUUUUCCAUCUCCCGAGUCGCGCCUCCCCUGGUCAGCAAAGGGUCACUGCCGCAAUGGAGUCAUCCAAACUCAGAGGAUUAAUACACAUCCAUUUAUUGACAGCGUUCUUAACAACUGACAACAGCCCACUGGAGGUAACAUUGCCUAAUGGGCGAAUUACAAUUCAUAAGCCUUAUAGGUAACCAGUCGUAGGAAAUGGCUGCUACGAAGUCUCAAAGAAUCCAAGAAGCCACGUCCUGGCGUCAGGUGCACAUCUUCAGUCUGAUGGGUCGUCGGAGGUGGUGGUGUUCAGUUGACGACGACAGAACAAACUUAUUUGUACGUCCAAAGUGGUGGCACUCAGCCGCCUGCCGGCACUGCCCCACAGCUGUGCCUGUGCGCCCCUGGGGGCAGGAGCACAGGAGAGGGCCCUUCCGUGGGGACAGAGCUCUCUCCCCGCGCCCCACCGCGCAGCCCCGAGCUGGGAGGGGGGACUGAGAGGGGCGGUCAGAUGGGCAGCAGCCCAUCACAGACCACACGCAGGCUCCUGCUCGCAAAGUACGCCAGGGAAGCGUACAUUGCCUGGGGCAGCACUCGCAGCAGGAGCCGAUACAACAGCUCCUGGUCAUAGUGCUGGGCGUACAGCACUGCACAGCCCAACACGGCAACAAGCAGCAGCUGGAGGCUGACAAAGAUGAGGCAGAUCGU